rnacentral:ncRNA from 2 species
GUUCAUUUAAAAGCGCCAGGACUGCUGAUGAUCGGAUUGAACAGCAGUUGACGAGGAGAGGGUUUAUCGAUUUUUUCGGCGGAUGCCCUCCGGUUGCCGCAUGACAGCCGUCAAGCUUCUGUAAAAAACAAAAGGGUGACUUUUUGGACAAAAUCAGAGGCUACAUGCCCA